UCUCUGGGGCUUUCCAGGGAUGAAGAAGAUUUUCUUCAUCCUCAGUAUGUCGGGAAGUUUCUAUCAUGUCAUGAAACACAUGUGAUAUCUGAGCCCUGAGACUGUAUUCUGCCUACCUGCUUUAUGUUUCUUUCCCUGAGCAUAGAUGACUGAACAACUAUUCAGGUUUCUUUCCUCUUUGCUCCCUGAAGGGGAUUGAAACCAUUCCAGGAGCCUGCAGUCAGAGCUGGGCAUGAUAUUCUCUAAGUGAUGCUAUAAGACAAUGAAUCAUAGAACAAGCAAAUCUCCAAAGAAUCUCAAUCAAAAAACCAUUUCUCAAAGCCCAGAGAAAAGAGGAAUGGCAUCUCUAAUCAAGCUGACGCAAGUGCCUGAUGAUAAUGAAGCUUUGAAAGGAAACUAGCACUUUGUAUAUUCCCUCAAUGCCUAGAGCCUUCUCAUCUGGGAGGAUCUCUCCAUGACUAUAGUCUCCUUCUCCACGUGGUUCCCCUCAGAACCUCCAUUUUGAAGAAACUUCAAGGCCCACCAUUCUUCAUUCCUCUUCUUGCUCUGACUUUCUGGACUGGUCCAUCAUGUUCCUGCUCAGGUACUUCUCUCUACUCUGUGCUUUUUACAAGUUAUCUUGCUAUAUCAAAAUGCAAUCUACUUGAAAAAAAGUUUGUAGUUUUUAUAUCCCCAGUGCUUACCACAGUGUCUGCCAAAUAGUAAAUGCGCGCUGAUUUGACUCAUGUAUUUUGUGUUUAUUUAUCUGUGUACAC